rnacentral:rRNA from 1 species
GACGAACGCUGGCGGCGUGCUUAACACAUGCAAGUCGUACGGUAAGGCCCUUUCGGGGGUACACGAGUGGCGAACGGGUGAGUAACACGUGAGUAACCUGCCCACAACUUUGGGAUAACGCUAGGAAACUGGUGCUAAUACUGGAUAUGUGCUCCUGCUGCAUGGUGGGGGUUGGAAAGCUCCGGCGGUUGUGGAUGGACUCGCGGCCUAUCAGCUUGUUGGUGGGGUAGUGGCCUACCAAGGCGGCGACGGGUAGCCGGCCUGAGAGGGUGACCGGCCACAUUGGGACUGAGAUACGGCCCAGACUCCUACGGGAGGCAGCAGUGGGGAAUAUUGCACAAUGGGCGCAAGCUGAUGCAGCAACGCCGCGUGCGGGAUGACGGCCUUCGGGUUGUAAACCGCUUUCAGCAGGGACGAAGCUUUUUGUGACGGUACCUGCAGAAGAAGCACCGGCUAACUACGUG